GUGCUUGUGGGAAGCUAGGGCCUGGCGGUCGGAAGAUAUCGGGAUGUAACAGAAAGAUAGUCACCCCCCCUCCUCCAUAGUUUAUGGUAAUGACCCCGUAAUUAGCCAAUAGCACCUAGCUGUGAUGAAAGCAGAUGGGAGUAAUACUGUGAACCUAGGUUAUAAAGUGUCAAAUUCUUCAGCAAUAAACGCUAUUUCUGCCAUCCAUCAUAUUGGUGUUGUGUGCAGAUGGACCGAGUGACCUGAGGAGGGUCUCCAUGAUGCUCCUGAACCAGGGUGUCUGCCUUGCAUAAGGCAGCAAAGUGGUGCCAAAAACCCGGGAUUCAAAUUUGAAAAGUGGGAUCCAAAUCCGGAGAGCGGGGAUCGUCUGGGAAACGGGAGUAACGGUCAGGACGGCUGGACCUGUCCUGGCGGGAGAGACGUUCCUGGGCCCACAAGGAAGAUGGAAGCGCUGAUAAAGCAAGGAGGCCUCUGCAUCGCCCUGAAGGAGGAGUGCUGCUUCUACACAGACCACACUGGAGUAGUGAGAGACACCAUGGCUGAGCUACGAGACAGGCUGUCUCAACGGAAGGUGGAGAGAGAAGCCCAGCAAAGCUGGUUCCAAUCUUGGUUCGACCAAUCUCCGUGGCUGACCACCCUGGUGUCUACCCUGAUCGGGCCAAUUUUGAUGAUCUUAUUGGUGUUAAUCUUUGGACCGUGUGUUUUAAAUAGGCUUGUGUCCUUUGUCAAGAGCCGACUAGAGAGAGUCAACAUCCUGUUUGUAGAAAGACAGCAGAUGCUCUAAAAAUGCACUUGGUCGCCACGUGUGCCUUAUGUUUGUUAAUGAAAAACUGCGGUGUCUAUUUUAUAAGUUUUUAGCCUUUUAGUUAAGUAUAGUGUACCUUAUAUUUUACUCAAGUUUAUAAUAUCUACUUUUAAAACUUUUCAUAAUAUAGGUAAGUUAGAUAAAAUGUUUAGAAAUAUAUAUACAUAAAAUAACGUUAGAACUUUCAAGACUAAUAUACCUUAUAUUCUAGCAAAUUUAGUUAGACAUAAGGGGGAGGGGAAAAUGUGGGAAGCUAGGGCCCAGUGCUUGGAAGAUAUUGGGAUGUAACAGAUAGUCACCCCCCCUCCUCCAUAGUUUAUGGUAAUGACCCCGUAAUUAGCCAAUAGCACCUAGCUGUGAUGAAAGCAGAUGGGAGUAAUACUGUGAACCUAGGUUAUAAAGUGUCAAAUUCUUCAGCAAUAAACACCAUUUCUGCCAUCCAUCA